GGUCACAUAUUUGGUAUGUAUUCUGUGCAUAUUUUAUGUUUUAGAUCAUAUACAUACAUCAUAACAUGUUAUAGAUCCUAGGAUAGGUAUUAAGAUUAGAUCUUAAGCAUGUAGCAUAGAUUAAAUUAUUUAAUCUAAUUUUUCACUACAUGAAAAAAAUUAAAAUACAUGCUAUGCACCUAUCAGUUUUUCAACAAUGAUAUCAGAGCCUAAGUUCU
rnacentral:lncRNA from 1 species